GACGAACGCUGGCGGCGUGCCUAACACAUGCAAGUCGAACGCAGAGCGAUGGUAGCUUUCUUCUAUCAAUCUUAGUGGCGAACGGGUGUGUAACGCGUAAUCAACCUGCUCUUCCGAGGGGGACAACAGUUGGAAAAGACUGCUAAUCCCGCAUACGCUCUGAACACGGCAUCGAGGAUAGAAGAAAGCUAGUCUCUACAUGUAAGCUAUCACUGAAGGAGGUGAGUGCGUCUGAUUAGCUAGUUGGAGGGGUAACGGCCCACCAAGGCGAUGAUGAGUAGCCGGUCUGAGAGGAUGAACGGCCACAUUGGGACUGAGACACGGCCCAGACUCCUACGGGAGGCAGCAGUGGGGAAUCUUCCGCAAUGGACGAAAGUCUGACGGAGCAACGCCGCGUGAGUGAUGACGGCCUUCGGGUUGUAAAGCUCUGUUAAUCGGGACGAAAGGCCUUUUUGCGAAUAGGGAGAAGGAUUGACGGUACCGGAAUAGAAAGCCACGGCUAACUACGUG
rnacentral:rRNA from 1 species